UUCGGCGACCGAGGCCGGGAUGACAGGGACGGUCCGCGGUAUGGUUCCAGGGACGGCCCGCGUGAUAGCAGGGACGGGCCGCGCUACGAGCCGAGCGACGGACCGCGCGGCGAUUCCAGGGACGGCCCCCGCUACGGAGGCAGGGACGGACCAGACAGCGCCGAGGGCUCCACAGCCGACGGCGACCGGGCGGCACCGGCGCGGCCCAAGCUGAACCUGAAGCCGCGCUCGGUGCCGGCCGAGGAGAUCGGAAAGCCGGCGGCGUCCAGCAGCAUCUUCGGCGGAGCGCGGCCCGUCGACACGACGGCGCGCGAGCGCGAGGUGGAGGAGCGGCUCAAGGGCCUGUCGACGGAGCGGGCCGC